rnacentral:lncRNA from 1 species
AUGGGCCGGGCCCGUGGCAGAGUUGCUGGCACACAAAACUCCCUCACCAGCGACGUGACACCGAACCUCACGGUGAGGGGGCACACACCGUGGGCACACAUGGGGGGGCACACCAGGGGCACACACCGGGAGGGGACACACCGGGGCCCCGCCGUGCCGCCCCCCGGAGGCAGGCUGUGGGCGGGCUCUCCCCUUCCCCUCACAGCGGCUCCCGGCUCUGGCCGCGCUCCGCUCCGCGCCUUCCCCGCGGCCCCACGGGGAGCCCCCGCGGCAGCGCCCCCGGCCCGGCCCCGCCACCGCCAGCAGCGGGGCCCUUCCCCGGCGGCCGGGCCGGGGCAGGCCGCGCCCCCGGGCGCGUCACGGCGAGAGGCGGGCGGGGAAGGGCCGGGCAGGGCCGCGGAGGCAGCGGGAGGAGGCGGCGAGGGGCCGGGCCCGGCCGGGCCAUGGUGGGGAUCCCGGGGGGCUGCCAGGGUAAGGGGCGCGGCGGCACCGGGGAGGGGAUCCGGGGGGAUGCGGGGGGGGGCAGCGCCGGUACCGCGCGGGGAUGGGGCGGGAUCGGCCGGGAUGGGCCGGGCUGGGUGCCCCGGGGGCUCUGCUCUGGCUGCACACAGGCUUGGUGUGUGUGCAUGUGGGUGUGUGUGGGAAUAUGUGGGUGUAUGUGGGUGUAUAUGGGUGUGUAUGGGUAUAUAUGGACAUAUAUGCAUGUAUGUGGACGUAUGUGGAUGUAUGUGCAUGUAUAUGGAUGUAUGUGGAUAUAUAUGGACAUAUAUGCACGUAUGUGGAUGUAUAUGGAUAUUUAUGGAUGUAUAUGCAUGUAUGUGGAUGUAUGUGGAUGUAUAUGGAUAUAUAGGGAUGUAUGUGGAUGCACAUGGAUGUACACGGCUGUUACCCAUGUGUGUUAGCACACGUUGCACUACCAUGCGGUUUCUCUCCACCAGGCACAGCUCAGGACUGGCUCUGCCCCAUCCUGCCGUGAGCCCCGUGGGGCACAGCGGGGUGGGCUGGGGGCUCCCUGCCUCCUGGCAGGAUGGGUCAGGCCCCACAGCCCGGCCCUGGGGCAGCGGCAGUGGUCCCGGGUCACAGCAGUGGUCAGUGAGUUGCAAGCUGCCACGGCCCGCUGCCAGCACUGAGAGGCGAUGGGGCCUGGGCAAAUUUUGCACCCAGGGCGAGUUUUCAGAUGUCUUUCCUUGA